GAUCAAAGUGUAGUAUCUGUUCUUAUCAGCUUAAUAUCUGAUACACUCCCCAUUGGGGAGUCAGAAUAUUAAACUGAUUUUUGUAACCUGACGGAGUGCUCGGGGCUUGCUCCACCUCUGUCGCGGGUUGGC
rnacentral:snRNA from 1 species